CUCAAAUGAAAUUACAUCUCUUAUACUUAGAGUUUUUUUGGAAAUUUAAAUUUAAAACAGGGGCUACUAAUAAAAUGACCCAAUUUGAAACAGAUUCACUUAGCCACUUGCGUUGGGAUUGGGCUUCUAGUCAAUUUCAAAAUCUUUCAUCCAAGCUGGUUCCUUGGGGAGUCGCCUUGGCCUGUAGUCGUUGCUUGGACCGGGUUCACUUACAGCCAACGGUUGAUUGUCGUCGUUCACUUCUCCUCCAAUGAUUAGGUCAGCAGCUCCGACGAUGUUGCAGAUAUCCGCCUUCAGUAUCGGAUAACCAAGGGGAAUCGUAUCAUCUUCCCCUCCUUGAGAGUCAACCUUGUCCUCAAGGUUGAUAGACGGGAACACCCUUCGCACGGCUUCAGCAUCCUCCCAAGAAGAGUCCUCAGGUAUGGUACCACAUCAUUUAAUUAGCCAUUGCUCUCUUUCACCACACCUCCUUGCCAAACAGACCUGCGUUUUAGUACAGCCAUCGCAUAGAUUAUAGAGGUUUAUUUUCUACUGAAAUCAGUGGUUCUCCCAUGUCUUGAUUUUCAGGUGAUGUUCCAAUUUUUUUUUUAAGCUUGGAUAUAUGAAAUGUAGGAUGGAUUUUGCUUUCCGGCGGUAAUUCUAGCUGUUAAGCCACUGGAUUGAUUUUCUUAGAUACUCUGUAAGGGCCAAAGUAUUUUUUUCCCAACUUAUUAUGCAUCCUUUGGGCUACUGUAAUCUGUCUAUAGGGUCUUAAUCUGACCAACACUCACUUCAAAUGAAAUAUCUUAUCUCCCUUUAUCAGCUUGAGCUUUCAUUCUGAUUUGUGCUAAUUCUAAGUUAUGUUUAAUCUUUUGUAGAGUCUCCUCCCUGAGAUUUAGAUUAAUAUCCAGAGCUUCCACUGAUGAUUCUCCUUCUCUGUAAUGUGGAAUUUCAGAGGAUUCCUUCCCAUAUAAUGUCAUAAAAGGUGUCAUUCCCAAUGAGGAGUGAUAGCUUGAAUUAUACCAUAACUCUGACCAUGGUAGUAAUUUGAACCAAUUUCUCGGGUUGUCAUGGCAGUAGGAUCUGAGAUACAUUUCUAGAGUUCUAUUGACAACUUCAGUCUGACCGUCUGAUUGUGGAUGGUAUGCAGAAGAGAAAUUCAGCUUUGUUCCGCUAAACUUAUGCAACUCUCUCCAAAAUUUCGAAGUGAAUACUCUAUCUCUAUCUGAAACAAUAGAAGUAGGUAUGCCAUGUAGUUUAAUAAUAUCUCUUACAAAUAUUUCAGAAACCUUUGGAGCAGUAAAAUUAUGAGGUAAUGCACUAAAGUGUGCAUACUUAGAUAGCCGGUCCAACAACACCAUGAUAACUGAUUUCCCUUCAACCUUGGGAAGAUCUGUAAUAAAAUCCAUAGUAAUGUCUUGCCAUACCUUAGAGGGUAUAGGGAGGGGUAAAAGAAGCCCCGCUAACUUGGUGUUUACUGGCGUCAUCUGCUAACAGGUGACAUAAUUCUUGACAUAUUCCUUUAUGCUAAGACUCAUAUUUUGCCAAUAGAAAUUUUUAGCUACCCUCUUCCAAGUUUUAUUCACACCACCAUAGCCUCCCAAUAGAGAAUUAUAACAUUCGAACAGAAGUUUAGAAAUCAAUGGGGAGUUUUUAUUCACAUAGUAUUUACCUUUGUAGAAUAACAUGCCAUUUCUGACCAUGUAGCCCUCUAUGUCUUGGACUGCAGUAGUGUGCUUUUGCAUCAGCUCCUGUGAUAGAGGAUUUGUUUGGUUUUCUUUUUUUAGAAUUUCAAAAAAUUCAGAAAUAGUGGUUGUAAGAAAUAGAAGUGAUCCAGGAGCACCCAUAGAGUUACUAGAAAAUAAAAUCUCCUCUUCCUUGUCUUCAAAGGACCUAGAAAGAGCAUCAGCAACUACAUUUUCUUUGCCAGGCUUAUAGAUAAUACUGAAAUCGAACCCUUGAAGCUUACAGAGAAAGAUUUGUUGCUCAAGUGUUUGUAUUGUCUGAGUGAGAAGAUUUUUAAGACUCUUGUGAUCUGUCUUAAUUAGAAAGUGAGAGCCUAAUAAGUAGUGCCUCCAUUUACUCACUGCAGUAGUGAUAGCAUACAUUUCUUUGACAUAAAUUGAUGCUGAACUGAUUUUUCAGAAAUUUUACGACUAAAAAAUGAGAUGGGAUGAGUUUCCUGUGACAAAACAGCACCUACCCCGCUUUUACAAGCAUCUGUCUCAAUGGUAAAUUGCUUGGAAAAGUCUGGAAAUCCCAAGACAGGAGCAAUCACCAUUGCUUCUUUUAAUUUCACAAAACUAGUGGCUGCCAAUUCUCCCCAUUUGAAACAGUUUUUCUUCAAUAAAUCAGUCAUUGGGGCAGCAAUUUGAGCAUAAUUUCUUAUAAAUCUUCCAUAGUAUCUGGUAAGCCCAAGGAAACCUCUUAAUUUUUUUAUGGUUUUAGGAGGUUCCCAAUCCACGAUGGCCUUCACCUUUUCAGGGUCAGGGUGUACCCCUUCUACAUCUAUGAUAUGACCUAGAAAUGUCAUCUCUCCUUUUCCAAAGGAGCAUUUGGAAAUUUUAACCAGUAGCUUAUUCUCUCUGAGAAUUUCAAACACACACCGAAGAUGGUUGAUGUGAUCUUCAACUGAGGCACUAUAGACCAAAAUAUCAUAAAAAAAACAAUAACAAAUUUUCUUAAGUACCUUUCAAAUACAGAAUUCAUCACGGCUUGAAAGGUGGCAGGGGCAUUUGUGAGGCCAAAGGACAUCACUAAGAAUUCAUAAUGGCCUUGGUGAGUUCUGAAGGCAGUCUUUUCAGUAUGGGGAGGAUGGACUCUGAUUUGGUGAAACCCCGAUCUGAGAUCCAGCUUGGAAUACACAGUUGAACCCUUUAACUCUCCCAACAGUUCAUCUACAGUCGAAAUAGGAUAUUUAUCCUUAAUAGUUAAUGCAUUUAGGGCCCUGUAAUCCACACACAAUCUGUAACCUUCAUCCUUUUUUUUUUACUAACAACACUGGGGAUGAAUAUGGACUUGUGCUGAUUUUAAUAAUUUUCUGAUUCAGCAUCUCAGUUACAAGCUUUUCAAUCUCUGCCUUUUGGAACUGAGGGUACCUAUAUGGUCUUACAUUAACCGGACCGGAAUUAGGUUCUAAGUGGAUGAAAUAAUCUUGUUUUCUUUGGGGUGGGAGCUCACUAGGGGCUUCAAAAAUAUCACAAUGUUCUUGAAUAAUUUCUGUUAAUUUAGUGUAUGGUGUUUCUAGGACAGCAACCUCACUAUCACCCUCUUUCUUUUCCACAUAGCAUAAAUAGGCCUCCUAAGUUGAUGCAAUCAGACAUUUCAAUUGUCCCACGGUUAAUGGAUCCUCAGAGAUCCAUGCUAGACCUUGCCAACAGAUUUGUUUUCCCUUCCACAUAAACUUCAUAGAUAAUUUUUCUAGGUCAAAUGUAAUUGGUCGUAGAAUCUUUAAGCCUUGAACACCCACAACCAUAGUUGAACCAGACAUGCAUAAUAAAUAUAUAUCCAUCUUUAGGGGAAUCCCUUCGAUAACCAGCUCCACACACUUACAUAUUUUAGCACAAAUCAGUUUUCCAUUACCAGUAGAAACCUUGAAUGGAAUAAUAGGUUCUAUGGUAAGUUUUAGAGACUUAGCAAUAUCUUCUUGCAUAAAAUUGUGAGUCGAACCAGUAUCAACCAUUACACUUAUUGGUUUAUUGGCAAUAGAUCCAUUCAGCCUGAUUGUAUUUAGGUUGAUGUUACCUUCAAAUGCAUUAUAUGAGAUUUCUUUACUACCAUCCUCUGCUAAUUCAAUCACAGUAUUUUCAUCCUCUUCUAUUAAUAUUUCUUGUUCUUCUACCUCCUCUAAGCAACUCUGAUCAGCAGAAAGUCUGAAUAAUUUCCCUUGCCUGCCUAUACACACUUGAUUGUGGUCGGGUGUGAAUUUCUCGUCAUAAUUAAAACAAAGGCCCUUGCCUCUUUUUUCUGCCUUUUUAGUUGUAGACAAUCUUUUGGUGGUGUGUGUAAUCUCAGUAACUACUGUAUCUUUCUUUGUGGUUUGUGGAAAAGAAUAAUUUGAUGUUGUUUGCUUGGUAGCAUAAGAUUUGUAGUUUCCCUUGUACCCUCCUUUCUUGUUAUCAAUCAUUUUAGAAAUUUCCAUUGCCUCAUGGAUAUCGGUUGGUUUUCUCAACAUUACUUCAGAUUGUAGGUCCUCUUUUAAUCCAGAAAUAUACAUUUCUAGAAUAAAAUAUUCAGGGAGGCCUAAUACCCUGGUAUACAUCUCUUCGAACAGGCUUUGAUACUCAGUUAAGCUCCCUUCUUGACGAAGUUUGCUUAAUUCCCCCCCCGGGAGUUGAUGAUGGAGGGUUAUAAACUUCCUAAUCACAACAUCCACUACCCAGUUAGUAAGCAUGUUGCUAGCUUUCAUCUAUGCAAACCAUUUCUUUGCUAAGCCAUCCAAGUGAAAGGAAACAAUUAACAGUUUCUGGUCCUCUGGAAUUUAAUUUUAUUGAAAAUAAAGUAUCUUCUAACAGGGAAAAUCCAGUGUUCAGCAUCAGAACCAUCAAAUCUUGGCAUAUUGACUUUCACAUGUUUUGCAGGUGCAUAAUUAGGAUCAUUCAAGAUACUUUGCGCAUAACAAGGGCUGUCCAGAUUAACAAUGGAUCGGUAAUAAGUUUAUGGAGAUUUCUUCUCUUUUUCAUAAUCUUCAUCUGGAAGUUUCUCUUUAAAUCCUUCAGCACACAUAUCUGCAAGUUGUUUGCUCAAUGUCAUAAAAUUAUUAUUAUCUGUAGAUCUGAAUUCUCCCAUCUCCUUGAUUUGAAACAUUUGCAGAUUUUGGAGACGAAUGAAAUCUGGAUGAGCUGAUAAUUCGAAUGAAGUCAUCCUGUUUAAGAGAGUUCAAAAACGAUGAAAGCACCAAGUGACACAAUUUCACUCAUUUGAACUCUUGAAUUGUACCAUAACUCUGACCAUGGUAGUAAUUGAACCAAUUUCUCGGGUUGUCAGGGCAGUAGGAUCUGAGAUACAUUUUUAGAGUUCUAUUGACAACUUCAGUUUGACCAUCUGAUUGUGGAUGGUAUGCAGAAGAGAAAUUCAGCUUUGUUCCGCUAAGCUUAUGCAAGUCUCUCCAAAAUUUUGAAGUGAAUACUCUAUCUUUAUCUGAAACAAUAGAAGUAGGUAUGCCAUGUAGUUUAAUAAUAUCUCUUACAAAUAUUUCAGCAACCUUUGGAGUAGUAAAAUUAUGAGAUAAUGCAAUUGUUGGAAUCGAGUAUUCAUAAACGAA
rnacentral:lncRNA from 1 species